rnacentral:rRNA from 1 species
AUUGAACGCUGGCGGCAGGCCUAACACAUGCAAGUCGAGCGGAGCGGCGGACGGGUGAGUAAUGCCUAGGAAUCUGCCUGGUAGUGGUGGAUAACGUCCGGAAACGGGCGCUAAUACCGCACACUAUCAGAUGAGCCUAGGUCGGAUUAGCUAGUUGGUGGGGUAAAGGCCUACCAAGGCGACGAUCCGUAACUGGGCUGAGAGGAUGAUCAGUCACACUGGAAAUGAGAAACGGUCCAGACUCCCACGGGAGGCAGGAGUGGGGAAAAUUGGACAAUGGGCGAAAGCCUGAUCCAGCCAUGCCGCGUGUGUGAAGAAGGUCUUCAGAUUGUAAAGCACAUUAAAUUGGGAAGAGUUACCAACAGAAUGAGCACCGGCUAACUACGUGCCAGCCGCAGCGGUAAUAC